UUUACCCUGCUGUGCACGUGAUGUUGCACUACCGGUUUUGAGCCAACACCCUUAAAAUGGGGCUCAAUUCAGAAAGUGAACGCGAUAGGCUUGAGCCAAGGCGUAAACUUUCGAGCGGCCCCCUCCUGCUUCGGCAGGUUCAAAACUAUGCAGCACACGACAUGGUGGGGUUUUU
rnacentral:other from 1 species